rnacentral:lncRNA from 1 species
AAGAUGGUGCUGAGUAGACAGUUUUGGAGAAAUGCCUGCUAAAACAGACCUGUCAUCUAACUGUGACCGCAAGUGAAUGUUUCACAGAGAAACAAACCAAUUUCUAGUUUAAUCAUUGGCUAUGAAGCAGUUUUGUGCUCACACUUUUAGCAUGUCUCAGCUGCUGCCAGUCAACAUGUGCUCUUUAAGCAUGGAAAAUAAUGCAGGACUUUAUAGGAGAGCUGUGCUGAUGCUUUGAAUGAGAUGGCUAUUUGGUAAGCUGGAGUCAUAAAAGGCUUUCCUUUUUCAUCAGAAGGAUUUUCUACAAAGCCUGGGAGAGAUCCUGUGCUUCAGUUAGAACAAGCCCAGUUGAUACAUACCAUCCCCAUACAACUGCUGACU